rnacentral:lncRNA from 1 species
CUCGUGGCUACAGCAAUCUAACAGCCUUAGGUUCUUCUGCUACAUACGUGUUCACCAUCAGUAUCUUUCUCAUCUCUUUCAGGACCUUUCUGCAGAGCAUGAAACAAAAACUGCCUAACCGUCUGCUCCGUUAGGCCAUCAAAGAUUCAAGCAAGCAGCAAGCAGAAAGAGAGAGAGCCCAAAGAUAAGGAGCUGACAAAUGAUCGGAUGAGGAGACUGCGGUUCAGUGAUCUUCAUUCCAUUACGCUUGCGGUCCUUGCAAAUGCACAGCACUAGUCACCU